rnacentral:lncRNA from 1 species
AUAUAAUUUUAUUUUUCAAUAUCUUGAAUUUUAAAAAUACUAAUUUUGUUCUAAAUAUUUUAUAUCAAUACACGAGCCAAUGCAUCAUGAACAAUUUUCACAUCAUUUCUAAAACAGCUUUUAAUUUCUUUUUCUUCAAAAUAAUGAGGAAUAAGACAAAUUUCUUCUUUAAUGAAACUUCACACAAAUAUAUCAUUCAAAUACUACUCUUACAACAAGAAGCUUCUACAUAUAAUUGUAGAAGUAAUGUAAGCUUAUGUAAAGCUUCAUCAUCUUCAUUAUUACCACUAUUAUCCUACAUAAUACAUUAUAUUAACAAUUUGUGACUUUUAUAUACCCAAUAUAGAAAAAAAAAGCAGCUACGAUGAUUCUGAACUUAAAUGCAUAGACAACUUUUCUUUUAUGGAAGCUUAUCUACAAUUGAAACGUCAACACAAUUUAUUAUGCACUCAGGAAUUAAGCAGCCUCAGAGUACCUUGUACGUGUGCUAUGCGUGUGAAUUGCAUGCAAGAAUUUACGCGAAGGAAUCUACUGUGUUAAAAAUAAUGUGUAAUUGUGUGCCAGUCUUGCUGUGAUAUACCAUAUUAUUAACGUGUAUAUGAUGGAUGAUAUAUAUCAUAAUGCAUCAUAUGUCUAAUUGAUGUGCGUGUGCUGUUGAAUAUAAUGAGAUGUACAUGCACAAGUCUGUCUGUUUAUCUAUAUGUUCGUCUCUAUCUGCCAUGUACAUGACAGUCGAAACUCUUAUUAAUAAGGAAAGAAAACUUCAAGAUACUUUGACAAUCAACUUUCAUCUAUACACAUAUAAAAUCUUAAACAUAUGAUAUAUUAAUGUUACAGACAUACAUAAAGAGUUUUUUACAAAUUUAAGGCGAAUGUGCAUUUAUAUUAUACAAUUCUACUUCCUUUGGUUGAAAAAAAAAAGGAAGAAAACUAUCAAAGAUAGUCUUCAAAUCAAAGGAAGCUAAGAAUAAUUAAUAAUAAUCCUGGAGUUUCUAAAUGAAAAUUCUUAAAACGGUUGAAAGAAUAAAAUUAAAAAUAUUGAAUUGUUUUAAAUAAAUUUAUCUCGCUGAAGAUUUUUAUGAUUCUUCACUCACGACUCUGAUUAGUUUCCAGGUUGCUGAUCAUAUCAUUUUUUUGGAGUUAUAAAAACAACUGGCCUUUAUCUCAAAAAUAUUUGCAUGCUGCAAUUGGCCAUUCAAUUCUAUGUCAAGCUUUUCAAGCUUUGUUCAUUACACAAAGGUUCGAGUUACUUUGUGUAUCGUUCGAUCUUGAUGAUAUUGAGAAAUAAUGAAAAAUCCUUAUGAUUUACAAAUAUAAUCAAUUCAAUAUUAAUCCACAGUAUUAAGAUCGAUUCUCAAUUCUUCAAGAGCCGAUAUUCCAAGUGAUUUUCGAUCCUAAACACGAGCAGCUAGCACGAAGCCUCGUGUACUUCAGGAUUCUCUUCCCUUUUAUACACAGAAACACUUAUAUAUAUAUAUCUGCAAAAAGACACAUUAAGAAGGCUCUUAAUAACUGGGAACUUGACUAACAAGAACGAAAACCUCAGAAAAAAUAAUCUACAAUAACAGAUACAAAGAAACAAAACCAAAUAGUAAUAAUAAUAACAGAGAUACACAUAAGUCAGUAUGUAUCAGGAAUUAUAAAUACUGACGCAAAAAAAAAAAAAAAAAAAAAAAAAACACGCC